UAAACGUGUCGCCAUGUUUUCAUUUAGCGCUAACAUGUUUGCUUUAGUUUCGUGAAAUAAGCUAAGUGUUAAUUGUUUUGUCAAUCACAUUUCAAAAGUUAUUUAUGAACCCACUGGAGUCGUUUGGAUUACUUUCAUGAUGGAUGGAUGCGCUUUUUGGGACCAGUUUAAUCAUUUCUUUUUGGGACUUCGUUUAUGUUCAACUAAAGAAAGUUAGUCAUAUGCAUCUGGGAUGGCAAGAGGGCGAAUCCAGAGCCAUUGACUCCAAUGGAACAGUUUUUUCACAGCAAUGGCAGUUCAUGGAGGCUCUCAAUAGUUCCCCGAAGUUACUAGUAACGCAUGGAGCUGCGACUAAACAGACCAACUGAGGCUCCUGAAAACACCUGACUGACAGACACAGCUCUGGUUUGGCCUAAUACUCAAUGAUGAUCACCACAUCCGACAGUGGUGGGAAUCUGUGAUCAUUGCCUGCAGAUUUGAGCCCCAUGAUACAACACACUGCCAGAUUCUACUUCUAUUUUGUUUUCUAGAAAAAAUGAAUAUGCUGGCACAAUUGUAUUUUUGUCCACACAAGUAAUUUCAAACAUUGAAACACCUUCAGAUUAAAAGAUUUUUAAGAGCAUGAGAAACAUUUUUGUCAAGUUAUCCCAAACUUUAGACCGGUAGUGUAAGUGUGAGAAAAUAAGAAAUAAAACCAUGAAUAUUUCUUUGUUAGAAAUAUUAGACGAGUGGUAAACAAAGCUGUCUCUCCUAACUUAGUCCUUAACAAAUAAUUUACCCCAAAAUCCAUAAAGUACACUCCAAAAAAUGAUGAGUUAUUUUGAAACCCACCACUGGGUCAAAA